UUAAGAAAAUACUUUAAAAUGUUAAUAACUAAUGUGUAUGUUUUAUGCUUACCAGGGGUUUUAGGUUCACAACAUCAAAUCUCAAGUACGUAGGAGAUUCUGUGUACUUCAACAUAAUUUUGGGUGGAUAUAUGAUGUGAAAAAGGAAGACUUAGUAUAUACUCUUUCUCUUACCCUCCAAGAUUUGUUAUCCUAUGUGGCAGAAGGAGGAGAACAUAAAAAUGAAACAAAUCUCCAUUUCGACAGAAGAUGUCAGAACUGCACUCAAGUGCCAGUUGUGUUUUAGAAGAAGGAAUGACUUACCAGAUCCUGAGAUGGUGACAUUGGGUCUCAGCCAAAGAUACUAAAUGCUGAACAGUGACAUUUGGCAAGCACUGUGAGGUCUGCUGGACAUAGCUACACCGCUAUAUUUCUUCUUCAAAGAGAGUGAGUCCCAAUCAACUUGAAAAAUACACUCCAACACACCCAUCAUUUAAUUUGCUUUUGGAAAUAUCUUCUUCUCACAGAAUGUCUUCUCUUUUAAGAGAAAUUGCUACUUCUUCAUUCGUCACUAGGAAACUAAGGAUUUAGAAUCUCUAAACAGUCCUUAUUCACAACUAAGUUAACCUUAUGUCUAAAGUAAAUGAAAUAUCUUACUUAAGUUAAGUGAUUGCUUACAUUAAUGACUGAAGAGUGAGAGAUGGGUAGUUGUCAUUCUAGUCUAAAGGUUCUGUUCUAUAAUAAUGAUAUUUUGACCAUAGUGGUGUUUAACACUCUAGUAGACUUUCUGAACCAAUGUGCUGGUUUUUCAGUGGGCAUUAAUCACUCAUUUAUUUAUACCAUAUAUUAGAAAGCAAUUGUUAUAGGAUUCAAAACUCACCUAGGGACCAAUUCAUUUUAAAAAAUAAUUACACAGU
rnacentral:lncRNA from 1 species